ACGGAGGAUGCGAGCGUUAUCCGGAUUCAUUGGGUUUAAAGGGUGCGUAGGCGGACUAUUAAGUCAGUGGUGAAAUCCUGCAGCUUAACUGCAGAACUGCCGUUGAUACUGAUAGCCUUGAGUUUGGUAAAGGUAGGCGGAAUGUCUAAUGUAGCGGUGAAAUGCGUAGAUAUUGGGAAGAACCCCGGUGGCGUAGGCGGCUUGCUGGGCUGCAACUGACGCUGAGGCGCGAAAGCCACGGGAGCAUUCGG
rnacentral:rRNA from 1 species